rnacentral:rRNA from 1 species
UACAGAGGGUGCGAGCGUUGUCCGGAAUCACUGGGCGUAAAGGGCGCGUAGGUGGCGCGACAAGUCAGUGGUGAAAGCUCGAUGCUUAACAUCGAGUCGGCCACUGAUACUGUUGGGCUUGAGCACUGUAGAGGCUAAUGGAAUUCCGGGUGUAGCGGUGGAAUGCGUAGAGAUCCGGAAGAACACCGGUGGCGAAGGCGGUUAGCUGGGCAGUUGCUGACGCUGAGGCGCGAAAGCGUGGGGAGCAAACAGG